CUGAUUUUUUUAUAUAUAAUUAGAACAGUUAAACAUUUUGUUUUGGUUCUGUUUUCAUGUAACAUUCCUGCCGUUCACCCCAUUCCAGCUGAACCUCCUCUGUGACAUAUACUUUACAUCUCUGUGCACAUGGUUUGGUUGCUUACUCCUGCAUUUGCCUAUUUUAAAUCCUCAUUGCUUAAGACUUAGCUCAGAUAAUUCUCUGAUGAACCUUCCCUGCCAUGACUUUUUCUUUCAUAUACCCAGUGCAUGCUUGCUAACUCAUUUAUUCAUUUGUUCACUCCCUUUUUUUCCCACAGGAUAUAAGACAGCAACAUAUUGUGGGCCUUUUAACGUUCUGUGAGGGCACCCUGUGUGCUUCUCUUCUAGAGCUUCAUUCUGGAAGCCCUUGGAUGGAAGAACCUGUCUUGACUCCUAAAUAAUGCCUGGGAGGCACAGAGAAGCAGAGUAACUUGCUCAAGGCUACUUGACCAACCUGUGGUGAGGCCAGGAUCUGAAUCUGGGCAGUCUGGCUAUAGUCUUCAGUUUGUAACCACAAUGCUCUACAGGGGAUACAAAGUGAAGACUGAGAAGUUCUAUGUGAAUAAAGGCUUUUGUGUUCAAGCCUGGGAACAUUUAUACGUGGACUCCAUUCCGAAGCCCUUUUACAGUGUGGAGUAUACAGCAGUCAUGCCUGGUCCAUUAUUCAACAGCCAGACACGCUUCUCUGGAUGUUGACACCACACUCUACAAAGGCUGGCACGUCUGUCUUUUCGACCAGAUGACUACCUCCUGUACGGUCUUUGGGGCAUGCUGAGCCCAGCCCCUGGGAACCAACACACUGGAGUUUGAGCCCCAGCCGGCUGUUUAUGAAGCAACACAAACUGCUCUGAGUCCUGGUGUCCUUUCUGAAAAAAUGCAGGGGCCAGCCCUUCCCCCAAGAGCUACAGCUACAAUGGACAAAGAAGAUCACGCACAGUGAGCGCACAGCACAACACCUGUAAUGUGGUGUUUUGUAGUAAGUAUCCAUUCCCCAUCCCGUCCAGGAUGAGGCCCAGGCCUCCACCCUCAGUCACCUAACACAAAGCGUGAAGGCGGCAGGAAAGCUGCCUGCGCCCCAGCCCGCCAUCUGUGGAGCACGGGACAUGCUGUGAGACAGAAGAACCCCCAAGGUGAGUGGCAGCAGGGACCCCACAGACCCCUCAUUGCAUGUCCUCUGGAUCCAGCCCCCUCUUCGCUCGUUCUUCCUCUCUGCCCUGGUGCACUCAAGCUCCGGCCUGGGCUUCCUGUAUUCCUCUCUAUGUGGUUCUUUGUGUGACCUCAUCCCAUCUCCAGACCCAAAGUAUCAUCUCCAUGCUGACAACCCCUCAGCUUCACUUGACUCCACUCAAACUUCAUAAGCAUUGCACCUUAACAGGCCCACAGGUGGCUCCUGACUCUUCCUCUCCAAACCACUUCUGCAGUCCUGGUGUCCCACUCAGUAAACACCUUCUUUCAGUUACUCCACCAAAACAAAAAGGUCGUCCCUUAAGUCAGUUUUCUUUCAUCCCCACAUCUGACCAGUUGGCAAAAUCCUCCAAGUAUGUUCAGAAUCUGGCUCUUCUAUCUUGACUGCUGCCCCUUAGGUCCAUGCUACCCACGUAUCUAGCCAGAGCCCCACACUCCACCCCCCUUUCUCACUCCCUUCAUCCCCACUCUUUCUUCCACCUGCCUCUCCCACCACAGCCCUUGGGCUUCUGCACCUGGCCUUCCCUCUGUCCCAGCAUGGCCUUCCAGCCCUCUCCCCGCCAUGCUCCCCACUUCCCUUCACCCUGCUUUGUACUCCUCCUUUAUCUAACCUUCUAACAUACCAUAGAUUUUUAAAAUCUAUCUUGUUUAUGGUCUCUCUCUGCCUCCAACCCUCAAACACCACCAAAUAAGAAUGAGGGCAGAGGUUUUGAUCAGUUUUGGUCUUGGCUGUGUCCCCAGCAUCUCGUACAGUGUCUGCACAUCAUAGACACUCAGUGAAUUCUCUUUUGGGAAUACAGGAAUUGGCACAGGGGAGGGGUUCUGAGUCCUGGGAGGCAGGGCAGAAAGCUGGUUUCCCCUAACCCCCCAGACCAGACGCAGUGUUGACUGACUCCUGUGUGCAGAUGUAUUCCCCAAAGACCCGCUGGAUGGGGCUCCAUUCUUUCAUGUGCUCAGACAGACCCUUCUCUCCCUAGACCACCCUUCCAACCAGGAUGACAGCACAGACCACUCUGCUAGCGAGGGUCCUACAAGGGCUGCUGCUGUCCCUUUGCCUCUGCAAGCUUUAGCUUACCUCCAAGCCACCAAGCAGGAGGAAGUGUGAGCAGUGAAAACUCCCUGAGCACUCUGGAUGCACCAGGCCCUGUGCCGAGCACUCCCAUCCACUGUGGCACUUAAUCCUCACGACAAAUAGGUGAGGUCACCCGAGGCCAGAGACUCGACCCUAGGCAGUGUUAUCUAGAGCCCUCUACGGAACAACUUUGCAUUUUCCCCUGAGAAACCAAGCUUCUGAGAAGGUGAAAGAGCUAGAAGCUCAAGUUGGCUCCACAAAGAGCUAAAGAAGUGAGAAGCUGGUUCUGGCCUCUUCUGAGGCUGUAUGAUGACAGCCUCCGCCUAGUAAUACUUCCCAUGUAUCCUGUAGUUUUUGUCUGUGAGCUCAUCUUCAGCUGUAAUCAUCUUUCUCCAUAUCUGCAGGGUGUUCCACCGUUCCCGUUGCCUGGUAAAUUCCAACCCAGUGCUCACACUUGUGGGGGUUUCCCCCCAGCUGUAUACCUCACAGUUUUACUCAUGUUGUGUCCUUUCUCCUCCUUGCUCAGCCCAAUCCUAUUGGUCCUUCAACUCCUGGCUCAGACAUUGCCUGCCGUGACCCUCCCCAACCUCCUGCAGAACAAAAGGGCCAAACGCUGCCCCUCCAGCUCCCUGUAGAAAUCCCAGGCCCAGAGUGAGAAGCAGGAACCGCUUCACCUCCACUGUCUCUGAUGGGGAAAGGAGGAUGUCAGAGCCCACAAACAAC